UGCUCAACAGCAUACAGCCAGUACUGAUAGGUGUUGCCAUCGGUGCUGGUUUUACAGGGUGUGGUUGCGAUUGUAAACGUCUGCUGCUAUUAUAUAAUUGGCAUACCCAUCGGAGUACUACUUGGAUAUGUGGCUGAUCUGGGAAUUAAGGGCCUGUGGGUUGGAUUGCUGUGUGGAAUACUAGCGCAGACAUUAGUGCUUUCUUUCCUCACUUGGCGAACAAAUUGGGAAGAACAGGUCAAUCGGGCAUCUAAACAUCUUGAUCAGUGGCUUUUGGAACCAGAGGAACCUACUGAGAGUACUGGUCUUGCUUGAAAUC